CGUUUUUAGCCUACCUACCAAUUCUCUGCGUUUCAGUUUCAUUUUGAACGUUGUACGCCGAGAACCUACAGGUGCCGACGAUCUUGCUUCCGUUAGCCUAGGCUUCUUCAACGUGAAGCCACAAGAACGCGUGUGAAUACAAGAUUGAAUCUUGAACAAAAUAAUAAAAUCACAAUAAUCGCAAGACCGAAAGCAAUGCGAAUGAAAAGUUAAAUGGUUUUUAAACCGAAAAUACACAAAAACCGCGAGAUUUAUCGUCCAAAUAAAAUGAUGCUGCUUACGAAACUGAUAAUCUAAUAAAUAAAAAAUUGCCCCACAAUUUUAGGAAACCAAACCAAAAAUCGAUAAUUCUUAAAGAAAAAAAGAUUAAUUAUAGAGGCUCAAGAAUAAUAUAUUGUAAUACAUGACGUGCAAAUAUCUAUUGUCAACAUCAAUCAUGUCACCUAGACCAAUAUGGAGUUGGUGUCCACCAAUGAAUAUCCUUCGAAAAAACCAUUUAUUAAAACUAUCAGGGCUUUGUGACUUAAUACCAUUCUUUGUAAUCUUUUUUUUGGCUCAACCUUGUUUAACGGAGGCGCAAAUUGAUAGCACAGUGAGUGAACAGGAAACCAAAUCUGUUACCCUUCCAUGUCCCGUUAAUGAAGGAAAAUGUGGAAAACUACAUUCAUUAAACUGGUUCAAAGGAGAAGACCGUAUUGCUGCAAUGCUCUUGGGGGAAACAAAUGUUACGAAUGUAAAUAAGGAAUACAAGAACAGGGUAACUGUUGAGCUAAAUCCAUACAGACUUAUAAUUAACGACUUAAAAAUUGGAGAUGAAGAUAUUUAUCUUUGUGAUACAACAUUUUUUAUACCAGAAGAAACAUGCGAUAACUUCAAUGGGUACCGAAUUGAACUACGAGUAUUAGUGCCACCAUCGGAAGUUAUAAUUUUGGAUGUGAAGGGCGACCGAAUUGAAAAUGGAAGUGUAGUGGGUCCAAUGCAAGAGCGUCAGUCUCUCAAAGCAGCUUGUACUGUAAAAAAUACACGUCCUCAGCCAGAUGUGGGAUGGUUUCGUGGAUCCAAGCGACUGACAACAUAUUCACCUACGCAUGACAUUAAAGAUGGUCUUUUUACGUCAACACUAGAAUUGGAUUGGUUAUUAUCACGUGAAGAUCUGGCUCAAGAUAUAGAAUGCCGUGUAAAGUCGGCAGCUAUGCCAGAAACUAUUGUUCAAAAAUUUAGUAUAAACUUGCAAGUGCGGCCAACGAGUAUUGAAAUGAAUGGUGUAGAGCAUCAUACGGUUCAAGGCAGCAAAGUGAUUUUAACUUGUGAUAUUCACGGAGCGCGGCCACCAGUUAACCUUACUUGGUAUAACAUUACAUCACCCAUAGCAACAGAGGAAAAUAUUGUUACCGAGAUUCGUACUAGAGCAUUUGAGAAAAACGAUGGUACAUAUCAUACUCAGUCUGAACUCAUUUUUAAUGCGACUCGUUUUGAGAAUGACCGAGUAUUUCGCUGUGAGGCUGAAAAUAUAGUGAUACAAAUUAAUCGAGAAAAGCCAAUCUCUUCCGCGCUCACAUUGGAAGUCUUAUAUCCUCCAGUUGUCAAAGUCAGCCCACCUGAGGUGGUUACCAAUACAAGUGAAAUCGUUUUACUUAAUUGUGAAUAUGUGGCAAACCCAGCGUCACUAACAAAUGUUGUAUGGUAUCGGAACAAUGAAGUCGUGAAUGUCAAUAAUACAGAUCGUUAUCAGGGGGGUAAUUCAGAGAAUGUGGCUCUCGUUAUCAAGUCUACCGAAAAAGAUGAUACAGGAAAUUAUUCGUGUCAGUUAUCAAAUUCUAUUGGAAAAGGAACUUCUGAGCAGGAAAUCAAUCUGGAUGUGCAGUAUGUUCCUACUGUGGAGGUUGUAAUGAUUCCCGAGGGCCCUGUAAAAGAAAGCGACGAGUCAAAUGUUACCCUGUUCUGUAAUAUACUGGAUGCUAACCCAUCAAUUCUAACCAAAGUGAGAUGGUACGCAAACUCAACACUACUUAAGGAACUUCCCGACUGCGAAGAAACUAAUGAAGACCUUUGCCAUAUUGAUCCAAGUAAACUAUUAUUGGAGAGUAUAGGACGCGGCUUUUUCUACAAUUAUUCUUGCGAGGGAUUGAAUUCUGCUGGCUGGGGACCACGAAGUGAAGAUAAGGAGCUUAUAGUACAUUAUGAACCAGGACCGGCUACACUUUCUAAUUUUCCCUUAAUCGCUGUAAAAAAAAAAAGCGUAGUAUUCACUUGUUCCGUAGAAGAUCCUGGAUAUCCAGACACAAAUAGGUUUGUAACUAAACAAGCCGAUCAGAAUAACAAUAAAAAGACAAUAUCAUACCCCAUACUUAUUACUUACCACACAGUUAAAGCAUUGCAAUCUAAUGAAGCUGACAUUGCUUUAGAAUCUUUUCUUUUGCAAAAAAUACCGCGACAAUUAAAUGCACCAUCGGAAGACUUAUCACAAACGUUGCUAUCGAGUGAAUCCAGUCCAUUCAAUGAAAUUAAAGAAACACAUGCUUUAAUUGACUUGAAUUAUAAUAAUUCCCCAUGUACAUUACUCACGCUCACUACAUACAUGAAAAAAUCACAACUAGUAGUCCUUUACACGGGACUACAAUCAAAUCUUGUAUCAUCCACCUACGCCCUCUAUCGUAAAAUGGGAAAGUUUAAAUUCAAUGCUCAAAUGAUUUCAAAACCUAACAGAUAUCGUUGGCUACGCGGAGGACGCGGUCCGCUGCAGGACAUUGUUACAAAAGAUUGGACGGUGGAACCAGUAGGACUUGACAGUCGUACCAACUAUUCUUGCUAUGCUUACAAUGAAGGCGGUAAGGGAAUUAUGGCCACAGUUAAUCUAAAGGUGCACGCACCACCAUUUUUUAUCAAAAACUUACCGCCAUACACUGGAAUCUUGCAUUCUUCACCGAGUGCAAAUUUAACCUGCCGAAUCGAAUGUGUUCCACGAUGUGAAAUAUCAUGGCUUAAGGAUGGCAUCCCCAUUGAGAAAAAUAACACUAAAUACUUCGUAAAAGAAAAAUACAUGGAUCCAUCGCCGGCAACUGGAGAUUUUGAAAGCAUGUUAUCCGUGUUGCAUUUUAACAUGUCCAAUUGGAUACAAAAGAAAUUUGAUAUUGAGGCCGACAAUGAUAACUAUACAUGCCUAUCAACUUCAAAUUCGGUGGGCCCGAGCGUUAAGAGCACCACAUACUUUAGUAUCGAAUAUUCACCAAUCAAUACGACCGUUUCGGAAGAAAAUGUCUAUGUAGAAGAGGGUACUAUACCGGCACGGAUUUUAUGCAAAGCCAGAGCUAAUCCAGAACCUUCAUAUAAAUGGAUAUUUAAAAAUGAAACAAUAGCUAAUGGUAAUACCCUAAUUUUCGACUCUGGUUUACACCGAAACGAAAAUGGUAUAUAUACCUGUAUGGCGUAUAACAAACAUGGAAAUAAUACUGCAAACUCAAUUAUAAACGUGCAGUUUAAACCUGAUUGUGCCAUCAAAAGGGAAAAUAUAGAUGGUCAGGACACUCUAAUUUGUACUGCAUUUGGAAACCCUUUAGAGGCAGAUUUAACUUGGUCAAUUAAAGGUGAAAACGAAACCAUUGAGAAUUUGGGUAGUGGGUACCGCAACGAUCUUUCCGAUAAGAGUUUUUAUGUUUUGAAAGCGGAUUAUGGUAUCACAAGGACGUUCAGAUGUGUAGCCAAUAACACAGUUGGAUCAGGAACAUUUUGUGAAAUUGAAGUCGAUGUGAGACCUAAAAAGCAACUGGCUUGGUGGCAACAAUGGAAAAUAAACAAUAUUGUUCUACUUUUAACUGGAAUUUUAAUUUUAUUACUAAUUGUGGUAAUAAUUUGUUGCAUCAUUAUUUGUGUAUGCCGUCGUCGGCGUCGCCAGGAUAAAUAUCUUUCGGAGGUCUCAAUAAGCGGUAACCAAAGUGUACUGACUUGCAAGUCGGGUUUUGCGCAACUGCAUGACACUUUACCCGCAAUAAAUACUACUGCAGGCAUACCUAACCCUAAGUCAAUUCAUAAAGAAUGGAAAAAUCGUCAAAACCCAACAGGUAUAAGUAAUAUUUGUGAAUCUGAAUCUAUGUAUCCCGACACAAAUGCACAUAAGUCGCCCCCACGUUGGCCACUUCGACCUGGUGUUAUGCUUCACGUAAACAAUGAGACCAAAGAAAAUCUAGUCGUAAAUAGAACGACAAUCAAACAGGAUUCUAUUAAGAACGAUGAGUUUGGAAAUAUUACUGCUAAAUUGAAUAACAUGUUAGUUGCACCACAGACUGAAAGUUUUAACAACAAUUUUCUCUCAAAAAUGUUUUUAUGGUCAAAAAAAAAGGUUCCAACUGAACUAAAUCAAAAUGUUCCAUCAAAAUACGAAAAUGUAACAUCUACCGAUACAGGCGUAUCAUCGAUCUACGUUGAUAAUAUAGAUACCGAAGUAACUUCUUCAUCAUCAUAUUCUGAUAACAUACUUGAACGUCUAAUUUCCUAUAUUAAAAGAGCCAAAAGGCCUUCCCAAAUUUAUUCUCAGGAUAGUCAGCGUAGCCAAGUUUGUCUCUUGCGGACAAUUUGGCGGCGGCGUUUUUAUAAUGAGACCAAUUGCAAGUUUAGAGAUCAUCAUCGCCUUAAGGGUAUUCGUUGCAGUGGCAGUGUCACUUAUAAAAAAAAAAAAGAAUGUACGGAUUUAAGUAACAACUUCGCACACGAAGAAGCUUCAGUUAAAUCUAAUUCAAUGCGAACGACCCUACUUAUGAGCUUUAAGGAUAAAACGAAAUCUGAAGCAACUGCUAUAUCUGAAAAAGGAUUACUUUCGAUUGGAGCUCCUAGCCUACAGUUGUUUACAAAUGUCUCGCAACCAAUUGCAUUUGAGAAUAUUAGUUCCGCCUUUUUGAACGGUGCCGGUACUUAUAUCUCCUCGAUGGACCAUACCUUUAGCUUGACACCAACGAAAACAAAUACAAAAUUACACGACAAAUCAUCUUCUAUGGGAGAACCAUUGACGGAACCUUGCGAGUAUGAGAAUCUUCCGUUCCAUGGUCUGCAAACAGCGCCAAACAAGUCGUAUAACACUCCUAAGAGUUUUAAUAACAACGUUAAUGUGAUACACGGCGGCUUGCGAUCGAAAAAACUCAAUGAGGAUUAUAACAAAGCUAUUGACGGCGAUCCGCAAGUUGUUUUACACAACUCUUUAGAUAAAAAAAUUCUGCUAAGACAACCGAUAAAGCAUCCAAUGUUUUCUAUGGAAUAUUUAUCAUCUAAAGUUCCCCAUCAAGAGAAAAGUUCUAAUAGGCUAAAUAACUCUCAAAAAGCUAACUUAACCUUACAAACCUGUUUUCCCAAGAUAAAUCCAAAUACCAAGAAAAACCCUUAUCAUCUAGAAUUGGAUAAUACCUUAGAUGUUAUAACACAAAAAUUAAACAAAAAAUCAACCAAACAUGAUUUAUCAUUUGGUAACGCGCAUGAUAAUCACCCCACUGAUGUGGAAAAAGAAUCACUCGAAAUUUCAAUUUCUGGCAGUAAUCGAUUUUAUGCUGCCAAUACCGUCCAUAAAUACAAUAAAGGUAUGCAAAAUAUUCAAGAAAAAACUAUGGAAAAAGAGUUCCAGUUGCUAAAAUCUGCUGAAGAAACUAAUUUUAAAACAAAACAUUUCGUGAAUUCCACGGCGUGUUUGACUACAUCUCCUUCUGUUGAAGGCCUUUGCAUUUCACCUAGAUGCCAACAGCAAUACCCUUUUAUGAACAAUAGGAAUGGCAAUAGCGAUACACAUUGCGGAUUUUUAGAUGAGAACCGGUCAAAGAAUUCUGAUGAAUGCGUGAGAAGCAUAGGAAGAGAAUGUAAAUCUAAAAAAUACCUGGCUACUGCACAAAUGCAUUCGUUUUCAACUAAAGAAACACAAAAAAAAAUUCACAGGAAUUUAAAUCACAAAAUUAAAAGGUGCGCAGUAGAAACUGAUACAAACCUUCAGUCCAUUGAACAGGCAAGAUACAGAAUUAACCGAAGUGACUCAGGAAUAUCCAACAGUUCACAAGAAUCUCAAAUGCCAACUUUAUCUCCAUUGGGUCGAAGCAAAUAUACAAAAAUUAAACUUGUUAAUUCGCCUUCAAUCUAUAAUAAUAAAAAGAUUGUUCAUAAGCUGGAAUGUGGGAAAAAUGAUCAGCAAAACUGCUUUAUUGAAAUGGAUUCAUCAUGUUUUGGGAAUAUAGGCUUGGACUCUAUUUCUUCACCAGUAAAAAAUAAUUCUAAAUCGUUUUCGAUUUUUGCAUUAAAACAAAGUGACGGCUCUUCUAAAAAGGUUGUUAGGUUAGAUAAACAAUUCCAGCAAAAAAUAAAUACUGAUCAUAGUGCUACACCUAUUAUUCAAUGUUUGGAACGAACGAAAAUAGUCCACCCAAUCGAUCAGUCGAAUUGCAAAAUUUCAGAAAAUCUUCUGGAAUCACGGCAACGCAAAAAUUCAAUUCCAGACCAAUACGAGCUUUUACAAUUGCGAAAAAUUAUUGGAAACAAUGACGUCUGUGUCCGCAAAAAAUUUAAAAGGAAAUACAGAAGACUUACCAUUAGUGAUCCAUAUACACUAACACAAUUAAGAAAAUUGAAAGCAUCGUCGAAUAAAUUCAGAAACACUGAUAACUCUUUAAUCAAUAUUAGCAGUAAGUUCAACAAAAUCACUAAAAAAGAUUACUGUAAAAGCAAAUUACCCCUCGGAAGACUUCAACGCAAUAUCACAAGUCCUUUCUUAUUCAUAGACAAUUUACAGUCGAUUCCGACUAUUUCUAUAACAAACGAUAUAGAAGACCAAAAUCGUGAUGGGACUUAUGAUUGCAUGGUGGUUCGGCGGCCAAUACGUUUACCAUUGCGUAAGCAUCAUACUUUUCACUUCCAGAAUGUGGAAACUGCGAAUGGAAAACUACAAGAGUUAAGAAAAAAAUUGUAUCACAACCGACAAAAAAUGAUAGAAAAACACGUCCACGGUCCGCUGAUAAAUCUACCGAUGACAUUAAAUGAAAGUAAUGGAUUUAUGCCAAUUUCACCAACUCAAGCUGAAGCCACAGAAACCCAUAUUUCGCAACAAAAAAACUGAAUACCUGUUACUUAAAAAAAAAAAAAAAUCAAAAAAUAUUAAUUUUUGUGCGUUAAUAUAAUUAUAAAAACAACUAAUGUGGUUUGCAGCCUUUACAUUUUACAUAAUAAAUAACAUAAAAAAUAAGUAUAUUAACACUCACGCACAAGAAUUCUUGGUCACUGAAUAAUUUAAACAAAUACAUCUAAAACUUAUCUUUAUUCUAAUCUUAAAAAUGACUGGCCUUUAAUUAUUAAUUUUUUCAAUGCAUGUAAAAUGAAUUUUCCUUAAAGCAAUAUUCUUUUAUUUUAUUUUUAAAACAUAAACCUCUAAUGCAGCUUCUGAAGUAUAUAGGUAUUCAUAUAUGUUAGCAAUAAGAAAGUAUUUAAAAGAAUGAUAGGUAUAUGUAAAUAGAAAAUGUAAUACUACAUGGAUAAUUUUUAAACAGGAAACUUCUUAAGUACUACAAGCGUAUUUUUUUUAAAAUAAAUUCUGAAAGGUAAAAAAAAAUGUCAUUCUCAGAUUAAAAUCCUUAACAAACAACUUUUCAAUUAGAAAUUAAAAAAGUUUCUGAACUUAUAAGAUCUUAGUUAUUAAACAAGGUAUUCGGUGAGUUUGUACUCUGGCAUUUUUGUUGUAUCAUUUCCGACUCAAUAUAAUAUAUGUACAUAUUCUUGAUUAGCAUCAACAGUCGAGUCGAUAUAGCAUUGUUCGUUAUGCGUCCGCGCUUCCGUCUGUCUAUGUAUCUCUAUCUAUGUCUAUCUGUCUAUCUAUGUGAACAUAAGAAUAUAUUAAUACAUAUAUUUUACAAUGUAUGCACACUUUAAAAAACGGAAUGACUGCAAGACUAAGAUAUGGGGAAAGAAAGUCUCUAAGAUUGGCCAAUUUUUAUCUUCACGAAUAAAUUCAGCUUGGAAUACAGUCCCUCAUAAAAAAUUAAUUCAUAACUAUUUAAUGUCUAAUAGAAAUUAGCUGCAUCUUUCCGACUUUGAGGACCCUUUCAAAAGCAGCAAUACCUAUAUAUUCUAAAUUUGAAAAUAUUUAGUUAUUGAAUAAAUAAAAGAUAUGUUAACUUUGCUAUUUAAA